GAUUAAGAACGUAGCGAAAUGCGAUAAGUAAUGUGAAUUGCAGAAUUCAGUGAAUCAUCGAAUCUUUGAACGCACAUUGCGCCCCUCGGUAUUCCGAGGGGCAUGCCUGUUCGAGCGUCAUUAUAACCCUUCAAGCUCAGCUUGGUGUUGGGGCCUGCUGUAACUGGUAGCCCUUAAAAUCAGUGGCAGUGCUAUUAGGCUCUAAGCGUAGUAAUUCUUCUCGCUAUAGUGUGUAGUGAGCGCUUGCCAGAACCCCAAACUUUUAUAUGAUUGACCUCGGAUCAGGUAGGGAUACCCGCUGAACUUAAGCAUAUCAAUAAGCGGAGGA
rnacentral:misc_RNA from 1 species